rnacentral:rRNA from 1 species
AGUGAACGCUGGCGGUAGGCCUAACACAUGCAAGUCGAACGGCAGCACAGUAAGAGCUUGCUCUUACGGGUGGCGAGUGGCGGACGGGUGAGGAAUACAUCGGAAUCUACUUUUUCGUGGGGGAUAACGUAGGGAAACUUACGCUAAUACCGCAUACGACCUACGGGUGAAAGCAGGGGAUCUUCGGACCUUGCGCGAUUGAAUGAGCCGAUGUCGGAUUAGCUAGUUGGCGGGGUAAAGGCCCACCAAGGCGACGAUCCGUAGCUGGUCUGAGAGGAUGAUCACCCACACUGGAACUGGGACACGGUCCAGAGGCCUACGGGAGGCAGCAGUGGGGAAUAUUGGACAAUGGGCGCAAGCCUGAUCCAGCCAUACCGCGUGGGUGAAGGAGGCCUUCGGGUUGUAAAGCCCUUUUGUUGGGAAAGAAAAGCAGCAGGUUAAUACCCCGCUGUUCUGACGGUACCCAAAGAAUAAGCACCGGCUAACUUCGUG